rnacentral:rRNA from 1 species
GAUGAACGCUGGCGGCGUGCUUAACACAUGCAAGUCGAACGGUGAAGCAGGAGCUUGCUCUUGUGGAUCAGUGGCGAACGGGUGAGUAACACGUGAGCAACCUGCCCCUGACCCUGGGAUAAGCGCUGGAAACGGCGUCUAAUACUGGAUAUGUGAUGUGACCGCAUGGUCUGCAUCUGGAAAGAAUUUCGGUUGGGGAUGGGCUCGCGGCCUAUCAGCUUGUUGGUGAGGUAAUGGCUCACCAAGGCGUCGACGGGUAGCCGGCCUGAGAGGGUGACCGGCCACACUGGGACUGAGACACGGCUCAGACUCCUACGGGAGGCAGCAGUGGGGAAUAUUGCACAAUGGGCGGAAGCCUGAUGCAGCAACGCCGCGUGAGGGAUGACGGCCUUCGGGUUGUAAACCUCUUUUAGCAGGGAAGAAGCGAAAGUGACGGUACCUGCAGAAAAAGCACCGGCUAACUACGUGCCAGCCGCCGCAGUAA